rnacentral:rRNA from 1 species
UCCCGUUGAUCCUGCGGGAGAUUGCUGCUAUUGGGAUUCGACUAAGCCAUGCAAGUUUGCUUUCUUCGGAGAGCGGCUGAAUGCUCAGUAACACGUCGAUAACCUAACCUUGGGUCAAGGAUAACCUCGGGAAACUGAGGGUAAUACUUGAUAUGGGAAUUAUACUGGAAUGUUUUUUCCUUCAAAUUCGUGCCCAAGGAUGGGAUGGCGGCGGAUUAGGUUGUUGGUGGGGUAAUGGCCCACCAAGCCGAAGAUCCGUAGGGGCCUUGAGAGAGGUAGCCCCGAGAAGGGCACUGAGGUACUGGCCCUAGCCCUACGGGGUGCAGCAGGCGCGGAACCUCUACAAUGCACGAAAGUGUGAUAGGGGGAUCCCAAGAGCUCAUGCUUUGCAUGGGCUUUUGCCAAGAGUAAGUAUCUUGGCGAAUAAGUGGUGGGAAAGACUGGUGCCAGCCGCCGCGGUAAUACCAGCGCCACAAGUGGCAAUCGCAUUUAUUUGGCCUAAAGCGUCCGUAGCCGGUUUGAUAAAUCUUUUGUGAAAUUGUUAGGCUUAACUUAACAACGUGCAGAAGAGACUGUCAGACUUGGGACCAGAGAGGGGUUGGAAGUAUUUCUGGGGGAGCGGUAAAAUGUUAUAAUCCCAGAAGGACUACCUGUGGUGAAGACGUCCAACCAGAAUGGAUCCGACGGUGAGGGUCGAAAGCUAGGGGAGCGAUCCGGAUUAGAUACCCGAGUAGUCCUAGCUGUAAACUCUGCGAGCUAGGUGUUACAUAUUCUCCGUGAAUAUGUAGUGUCGAAGCGAAGGUGUUAAGCUCGCCGCCUGGGAAGUAUGGUCGCAAGACUGAAACUUAAAGGAAUUGGCGGGGGAGCACUACAAGGGGUGCGGCGUGCGGUUUAAUCUAAUUCAACGCAGAGAACCUCACCAGAAGCGACGGCAGGAUGAAGGUCAGAUUAAAGGUUUUACCUGACGAGCCGAGAGGUAGUGCAUGGCCGUCGUCAGCUCGUGCCGUAAGGUGUCCUGUUAAGUCAGGCAACGAGCGAGACCUGUAUCUAUAAUUGCUAGCGAGUCGUUAGAUGAUCGAGCACAUUAUAGAGACUGCCCUGGAAACGGGGAGGAAGGUGCAGGCUACGAUAGGUCUGUAUGCUCCGAAUCUUCUGGGCUACACGCGCGCAACAAUGGUAGGGACAAUGUGAUGCAACUCCGAAAGGAGAAGCUAAUCCUCGAAACCCUAUCUUAGUCCGGAUUGAGGACUGCAAUUCGUCCUCAUGACGUUGGAAUCCCUAGUAAUCAGAGUUCAUCAUACUCUGGUGAAUAUGUCCCUGCUCCUUGCACACACCGCCCGUCAAACCACCCGAGUAGGGCUUAGGUGAGGCCUUAUUUUUAAUAAGUUCGAACCUAAGCUCAGCGAGGAGGGUUAAGUCGUCACAAGGUA